UACGAAGGGGGCUAGCGUUGCUCGGAAUUACUGGGCGUAAAGCGCACGUAGGCGGCUUUCUAAGUCGGGGGUGAAAUCCUGGAGCUCAACUCCAGAACUGCCUUCGAUACUGGAAAGCUCGAGUCCGGGAGAGGUGAGUGGAACUGCGAGUGUAGAGGUGAAAUUCGUAGAUAUUCGCAAGAACACCAGUGGCGAAGGCGGCUCACUGCCGCUAGUACGUACGCUGAGGUGCGAAAGCGUGGGGAGCAAACAGG
rnacentral:rRNA from 1 species